rnacentral:lncRNA from 10 species
CUCAUGGAAUCUGAGAGCUGAGACUUACAGACACAGGAAAUCAUGCUGAACAGCAUGCAAAACAGAGAAGUGAACUCCCAUGUACUUUGAGACAACAUUGGACUUUAAACUCCAGAACCAAACACUACAAUGGAUGUGGAAUAAAUGAGCAACAAAUAUUGAAUUAAUAAAUAAACAUCGCACUUUCUGAUGAGGCUGGAGGCUCUCACUUGAUAGCAGAGGAUAAAGAGAAGAAGAAAAGCAGGAACUACUUUCGGCUGGUAAGCAGAUCUUACAGUACAGUAGUUAAGCAUAUAAUGUUUGGAGCCUGACUGAUAUAGGCACAAAUCUCAAGUCCACAACUAUGUGAACGUUGACUUGUGAGAAGAUCCAAAUUUGCUUUGCCUUUGCCUUCCACCAUGACUGUAAGUUGCCUGAGUCCUCCCUGGCCAUAUGGACCUGUGAGUCAAUUAAACCUCUUUCCUUUAUAAAUUAUCCAGCUCAGGUAUUUCUUUAUAGCAGCAUGAAAGCAGACUAAUACAGCUACUGUCCAAAUCCUCCUUAGAAAAAUGUGUUUUUUUCUUGGAUUUGGAGAAAAAAGUAGAUAAGUCUUCCAUUCCAUUCUCCCAAGGAGCCUCCUGAGGCUUUUUCUUUUUUCUUCUUUUUGGGUUUUUCACUUGUCUCCUGAACCACUGCUUCCUUCAUGACAUCCUGAUUGUUUCAUGGAAUCUGGAUUCCACAAAAUUAAAUGUUACAAUGCCAAUGUACUCAUUUAUCAUUUCUUUCAGUAUUGUCAGCAUUUAGAAUACUCCAAGCUUUUUGUGAGUCAAAGAAGUAGUGGCAUGGAAAAGCAAACCUGGGACCUAC